AUACAACAUAAAUAACAGCUAUCAUGCCAGUACCGUUCGAAAUAAUUUACUUUGCCUUAUCGUGGAAAUAUUUUAUGAUUAUUGAUUUGGAGAACGUUUCCACCAGCACCAUGAUACGGUUGAUCGUUAUACUUUUUAUGGCUAUUGAACUAUUGGAUGCAAAUUAUGUGAACAGAACUAUAACUAGACAAUCUCGAGUUAGAUUUUAUCCAAAGGACUCUCUCUUUAGGAAAUCCGAUCUCAUUGAUAAAGGUUGUUCAGUUUUUGUCGCGUUGUGUCCCGCUAUUUACAAAAGAAGUAUGGUGUGUGGCCGCCAUUAUGACGGGUAUUAUAAAACAUUUAGUAGCUACUGCCAGCUCGAAUACGAAAAUUGUAACAGUUGGAGACAAUGGAGCAUGGUGAAGCGAGAUCGAUGCUAAUGUAAACUAUUCAUCUAAAUUACAAUCACUUAUUUAUAUCACGAUUUCCACUACCAUCCUAAUCUUAAAUUAACUGUGGAUAGAUUUUAAGUUUAGUUUAUAAUUAAUAAAUUUAAAUA